rnacentral:rRNA from 1 species
UACAGAGGGUGCAAGCGUUGUUCGGAAUUACUGGGCGUAAAGCGCGUGUAGGCUGCCUAAUAAGUCGGAUGUGAAAUCCCUCGGCUCAACCGAGGAACUGCAUCCGAUACUGUUAGGCUUGAGUGUCGGAGGGGAUGGCGGAAUUCCUGGUGUAGAGGUGAAAUUCGUAGAUAUCAGGAGGAACACCUGUGGCGAAGGCGGCCAUCUGGAAGACAACUGACGCUGAGACGCGAAAGCGUGGGGAUCAAACAGG